rnacentral:rRNA from 1 species
GACGAACCGUGCGAACGUUGUUCGGAAUCACUGGGCAUAAAGGGCGCGUAGGCGGCUUUUCAAGUCAGGGGUGAAAUCCGGCAGCUCAACUGUCGAAGUGCCCUUGAUACUGAUGAGCUCGAGGGAGGUAGGGGUGUGUGGAACUUCCGGUGGAGCGGUGAAAUGCGUUGAUAUCGGAAGGAACGCCGGUGGCGAAAGCGACGCACUGGACCUCUUCUGACGCUGAGACGCGAAAGCUAGGGGAGCGAACAGG